GUGCCAAAGCGGCAGCUAUACAUGCAGUCGAGCGGACAGAUGGGAGCUUGCUCCCUGAUGUUAGCGGCGGACGGGUGAGUAACACGUGGGUAACCUGCCUGUAAGACUGGGAUAACUCCGGGAAACCGGGGCUAAUACCGGAUGCUUGUUUGAACCGCAUGGUUCAAACAUAAAAGGUGGCUUCGGCUACCACUUACAGAUGGACCCGCGGCGCAUUAGCUAGUUGGUGAGGUAAUGGCUCACCAAGGCGACGAUGCGUAGCCCAACACAGACGGCAAACGGCAACACUGGAUAGAAACCGACCAGAUCUACGGAGGCAGCAGUAGAAUCUCGCAAUGACCAAAGUCGGACGAAGCAACGCCGGUGAGUGAUGAAAGUUCGAAUCGUAAAGCUCUGUUGUAAGGGAGAACAAGUACCGUUCGAAUAGGGCGGUACCUUGACGGUACCUAACAGAAAGCCACGGCUAACUACGUGCCAGCAGCCGCGGUAAUACGUAGGUGGCAAGCGUGUCCGGAAUUAUUGGGCGUAAAGGGCUCGCAGGCGGGUUCUUAAGUCUGAUGUGAAAGCCCCCGGCUCAACCGGGGAGGUCAUUGGAAACUGGGGAACUUGAGUGCAGAAGAGGAGAGUGGAAUUCCACGUGUAGCGGUGAAAUGCGUAGAGAUGUGGAGGAACACCAGUGGCGAAGGCGACUCUCUGGUCUGUAACUGACGCUGAGGAGCGAAAGCGUGGGGAGCGAACAGGAUUAGAUACCCUGGUAGUCCACGCCGUAAACGAUGAGUGCUAAGUGUUAGGGGGUUUCCGCCCCUUAGUGCUGCAGCUAACGCAUUAAGCACUCCGCCUGGGGAGUACGGUCGCAAGACUGAAACUCAAAGGAAUUGACGGGGGCCCGCACAAGCGGUGGAGCAUGUGGAUUAAUUCGAAGCAACGCGAAGAACCUUACCAGGUCUUGACAUCCUCUGACAAUCCUAAAAAUAGGACGUCCCCUUCGGGGGCAGAGUGCAGGUGGUGCAUGGUUGUCGUCACUCCGGCCCUGAGAUGGUAGUUAGUCCCGCAACGAGGCAACCCCUGAUCUAAUUGACAGCUCAAUGGCACUCUAAGGUACUGCCGGUGACAACGGAGAAACGUGGGAUGACGUCAAUCUAAUGCACCUAUGACCGGGGCGACACACGUGCUACAAUGGACAGAACAAAGGGCAGCGAAACCGCGAGGUUAAGCCAAUCCCACAAAUCUGUUCUCAGUUCGGAUCGCAGUCUGCAACUCGACUGCGUGAAGCUGGAAUCGCUAGUAAUCGCGGAUCAGCAUGCCGCGGUGAAUACGUUCCCGGGCCUUGUACACACCGCCCGUCACACCACGAGAGUUUGUAACACCCGAAGUCGGUGAGGUAACCUUUUAGGAGCCAGCCGCCGAAGGUGGGACAGAUGAUUGGGGUGAAGUCGAUCAAUGAGCCGCAGGGG
rnacentral:rRNA from 1 species